UGGGGAAUAUUGCACAAUGGGGGAAACCCUGAUGCAGCGACGCCGCGUGAGCGAAGAAGGUUUUCGAAUCGUAAAGCUCUGUCCUAUGAGAAGAUAAUGACGGUAUCAUAGGAGGAAGCCCCGGCUAAAUACGUGCCAGCAGCCGCGGUAAUACGUAUGGGGCGAGCGUUGUCCGGAAUUAUUGGGCGUAAAGGGUACGUAGGCGGUCUAUUAAGUCAGGUGUGAAAGCGUGAGGCUUAACCUCAUUAAGCACUUGAAACUGAUAGACUUGAGUGCAGGAGAGAAAAGUGGAAUUCCUAGUGUAGCGGUGAAGUGCGUAGAUAUUAGGAGGAAUACCGGUGGCGAAGGCGACUUUCUGGACUUUUACUGACGCUCAGGUACGAAAGCGUGGGGAGCAAACAGG
rnacentral:rRNA from 1 species